rnacentral:rRNA from 1 species
UACGUAGGGCGCAAGCGUUGUCCGGAAUUAUUGGGCGUAAAGAGCUCGUAGGCGGCUUGUCACGUCGGGUGUGAAAGCCCGGGGCUUAACCCCGGGUCUGCAUUCGAUACGGGCUAGCUAGAGUGUGGUAGGGGAGAUCGGAAUUCCUGGUGUAGCGGUGAAAUUCGUAGAUAUCGGGAGGAACACCAGUGGCGAAGGCGGCGAUCUGGGAAGAUACUGACGCUGAGGUGCGAAAGCGUGGGGAGCAACAGG